rnacentral:rRNA from 1 species
ACGAACGCUGGCGGCGUGCCUAAUACAUGCAAGUCGAACGAGCUCUCCUAAAUUGAUUUUAUGCUUGCAUAAAUGAUUUUUAGAUUCGGAGCGAGUGGCGAACUGGUGAGUAACACGUGGGUAACCUGCCCCGAAGCGGGGGAUAACAUUUGGAAACAAAUGCUAAUAUCGCAUAAUUAGUUGGAACCGCAUGGUUCCAACUUGAAAGAUGGCUCUGCUAUCACUUUGGGAUGGACCCGCGCCGUAUUAGUUAGUUGGUGAGAUAAAAGCCCACCAAGACGAUGAUACGUAGCCGACCUGAGAGGGUAAUCGGCCACAUUGGGACUGAGACACGGCCCAGACUCCUACGGGAGGCAGCAGUAGGGAAUCUUCCACAAUGGACGAAAGUCUGAUGGAGCAACGCCGCGUGAGUGAUGAAGGUUUUCGGAUCGUAAAACUCUGUUGUUAAAGAAGAACAAGUGUUAGAGUAACUGUUAACACUUUGACGGUAUUUAACCAGAAAGCCACGGCUAACUACGUGCCAGCAGCCGCGGUAAUACGUAGGUGGCAAGCGUUGUCCGGAUUUAUUGGGCGUAAAGCGAGCGCAGGCGGUUUUGUAAGUCUGCUGUGAAAGCCCUCAGCUCAACUGAGGAAGUGCAGUGGAAACUACAAAACUUGAGUACAGAAGAGGAAAGUGGAACUCCAUGUGUAGCGGUGAAAUGCGUAGAUAUAUGGGAAGAACACCAGUGGCGAAGGCGGCUUUCUGGUCUGUUACUGACGCUGAGGCUCGAAAGCAUGGGUAGCGAACAGGAUUAGAUACCCUGGUAGUCCAUGCCGUAAACGAUGAAUACUAGGUGUUGGAGGGUUUCCGCCCUUCAGUGCCGCAGCUAACGCAUUAAGUAUUCCGCCUGGGGAGUACGACCGCAAGGUUGAAACUCAAAGGAAUUGACGGGGGCCCGCACAAGUGGUGGAGCAUGUGGUUUAAUUCGAUGCUACGCGAAGAACCUUACCAGCUCUUGACAUCUUCUGCCAACCCAAGAGAUUGGGCGUUCCCUUCGGGGACAGAAUGACAGGUGGUGCAUGGUUGUCGUCAGCUCGUGUCGUGAGAUGUUGGGUUAAGUCCCGCAACGAGCGCAACCCUUAUUAUUAGUUGCCAGCAUUUAGUUGGGCACUCUAGUGAGACUGCCGGUGAUAAACCGGAGGAAGGUGGGGACGACGUCAAAUCAUCAUGCCCCUUAUGAGCUGGGCUACACACGUGCUACAAUGGAUGGUACAACGAGUCGCGAAACCGCGAGGUCAAGCUAAUCUCUUAAAGCCAUUCUCAGUUCGGAUUGCAGGCUGCAACUCGCCUGCAUGAAGUUGGAAUCACUAGUAAUCGUGGAUCAGCAUGCCACGGUGAAUACGUUCCCGGGCCUUGUACUCACCGC